ACUCCUCAUUUAAUUGUAUGAAUUCCAACUGAAAUCAGUGGGGAGAUUAAACAGGAGUUGGGAGAUUCAAUACUCUGCUGAGUUCUGGCCACCAAUAUCAGUGCACUGCUUAACUCAUAAACUAUAUUUACAAUUUUUGCUCAUAUUCAUCCACUGACACGUUUCAGGUGCUUAUAGAUGCUUCUAAUAGUGUGCCGUAAAUCACUGUAAAGAACUGAAAUACAAUUUUUAGAGUUCAAAUGGGAAUACUCAAUAGAUGUGACUGUUUGCAGGAUCAGGACCUAUUUUCCAGAACAGGUGCUUAAAUGAAAUGAUGAAGUCAUUAUAGUUGAGGAACUUAAUACAGAGAAAUAGCUCACAUUAUUCUAGUACCUAUAGGGCUCUGGCAUAAAUGCCUAAAUUAAAAAUUUGAGAACUUAUUAGGGGGGAGGAUUAGAUUUGGCAUUUCAAUUGGAGAGGAUUUUGUGGAUGUGGGGAAAAAAAAUAACUUCUUUUUUUGUGCAUGUAGAAGAAUUUUUUACCACCUGGAAAAGUUGCAUGGUUUUGACAUCACUUCCAGUUUUUUUCUGCUUUUGAAUUUGCUCCCUUUCUAUGCCACAAGCCUCCUUAGUGCUACAAAAAUCAGUUUGCUCUCAGAACAUGCAUGUGUUCAGGAAAGUACAAAAUGUCUAUCGGAAAGGCAGUAUAGUGCACUCUUUGUGGUCAGAGUGUGGGAAACUCCAUUUAGCUCAUUUUCAUGACAGAAGCACUGAACCACAUUAACACAGAAGGAAGAUGUAGAAAACGUUUAAUGGUACUGGAACGCUUUGUUUAUUCUUAGCUAAGCCUACACGGCUUCCAAAUGAGCCCACUAUGCAGUGUGACUACAUAAGGUUAACUGCUGGGUACAUUAAGCAAAAUACUCUCUCUUAGAUGCUUGUUUAAGUCAUCAUUUCUGACCAUUUAUCAGACUUAAUGUGCUACAGCAGACUGCAGGUCACAAUGUGUCAUUUCCAAAAGAACUUUGACUUUUCCCUUUCCAGGGUCAGGAACCGGUAAUGUUUAGCUGAAAUCACUGCCCUGCACUUCAUAGCUUCCAGUGAGGCUUUGGAGAGUUGCUCUUGCUAGACCAGAGUGCUGGUUCCAAGUAUUCAGUACUAAAAUUGGAGGACACUGUUUAAGUACAUAUAGACAGCUGUGUUUCAAUCUAGCUGCAGAAUAUCCCACUUCAUUUUUGAGAUCAUGAGAGAUACAGGAUGACUGAUUUCCCAAAAUGAUAGUGGGAUAUGUUAGAUAAAAAUGCCAAAAACAAGCACCCUCACUUGACAAAGGUUAUUUGUAUGGAAUUCAAGAAAAACUGUGUAUUUGGGGGUACAAUUUUUAACAUGCCAGGUGAGUAUUUCUUCUAUUCCUUAGUUCCAGUUAAAACAAUGUGGCUACUUAUCCAAUGAAUUCUGUGGCUAAGUGAAUUUGCAACAAAAAAAAAAUGUGCUUGAUGCCUUUACUCUCCUUUUUAAUCUAGAAAAUAUGUGGAAUUUUCAGAUCUAUAUGCUUUCUUCAGGUUGGUCUCACGUUGAUGGAGAUGCAACAAAGAUAAAACAGAGACCCUGAGUCCUACUCAUGUCCCUACGAUUGUCUCUGUAUUUUAUCCAUCAACAUCUGAAUGCUAAUCACUCAAAAAUCCUGAGAGCGGAGACAGACUCCAAGGGCUUCCCCUCAGAAGGCCUAGAGUCACAGUCUGCCUUGUGCUUUCUGCGAUGCCCCUUCAGCGUCAUGUCCCUUCAUUCAUAGCUGGACAGUGUGAGCCAAAGUGGAGGAGAUGUCUUUUCAGCCACACCUGGUAGAAGAAAUCUGCAACCGUGGCACUUGACACAGAUCCUCUUUGACGUUGAACUGACAAGUUACUUGCAGAGUUUGAAUGGAGCAAAGGGAAAUUUUUCCAGAGGAAGCUACAAAUUUGCAGCAACUGCCAAGGAGGUGUGCAGCCAGUGCAAAGGUGUUACAUCCAGAGGUGCUAAGUACCUGAGCUCCUUCCUGACACCAGUGGGGCAGAAUGCUCUGCAUCUCUCUGAAGCUGGGUAUUGGAGUUUGCAUGGAGCUGCCAGUAUUAAUGGAUUCAAAAGAGGCUAAAAGGCUUUGACUGUCCCUUCAUGGCAUGACCGAGGCUGAAACUCCACAAGAUGAUAAAGAU
rnacentral:lncRNA from 1 species